CUACGUGCCAGCAGCCGCGGUAAUACGGAAGGUCCGGGCGUUAUCCGGAUUUAUUGGGUUUAAAGGGAGCGUAGGCUGGAGAUUAAGUGUGUUGUGAAAUGUAGACGCUCAACGUCUGACUUGCAGCGCAUACUGGUUUCCUUGAGUACGCACAACGUUGGCGGAAUUCGUCGUGUAGCGGUGAAAUGCUUAGAUAUGACGAAGAACUCCGAUUGCGAAGGCAGCUGACGGGAGCGCAACUGACGCUGAAGCUCGAAGGUGCGGGUAUCGAACAGGAUUAGAUACCCUGGUAGUCCGCACAGUAAACGAUGGAUGCCCGCUGUUGGUACCUGGUAUCAGCGGCUAAGCGAAAGCAUUAAGCAUCCCACCUGGGGAGUACGCCGGCAACGGUGAAACUCAAAGGAAUUGACGGGGGCCCGCACAAGCGGAGGAACAUGUGGUUUAAUUCGAUGAUACGCGAGGAACCUUACCUAAGCUUGACAUCCC
rnacentral:rRNA from 1 species